GUGGGGAAUAUUGGACAAUGGGCGAAAGCCUGAUCCAGCCAUGCCGCGUGUGUGAAGAAGGUCUUCGGAUUGUAAAGCACUUUAAGUUGGGAGGAAGGGCAGUAAGUUAAUACCUUGCUGUUUUGACGUUACCAACAGAAUAAGCACCGGCUAACUUCGUGCCAGCAGCCGCGGUAAUACGAAGGGUGCAAGCGUUAAUCGGAAUUACUGGGCGUAAAGCGCGCGUAGGUGGUUCAGCAAGUUGAAGGUGAAAGCCCCGGGCUCAACCUGGGAACUGCCUCCAAAACUACUGAGCUAGAGUACGGUAGAGGGUAGUGGAAUUUCCUGUGUAGCGGUGAAAUGCGUAGAUAUAGGAAGGAACACCAGUGGCGAAGGCGACUACCUGGACUGAUACUGACACUGAGGUGCGAAAGCGUGGGGAGCAAACAGGAUUAGAAACCCGUGUAGUCC
rnacentral:rRNA from 1 species